GACGAACGCUGGCGGCGCGCUUAACACAUGCAAGUCGAGCGAAGCGGCGGACGGGUGAGUAACACGUGAGUAACCUGCCUUAGACAUUGGGAUAGCCUCGGGAAAUCGGGAUUCCUACCAAAUGGUCUAAGAUGGACUCGCGUCCCAUUAGCUAGUUGGUGGGUAACGGCCCACCAAGGCGACGAUGGGUAGCCGGCAUGAGAGGGUGAACGGCCACAUUGGAGCGGAGAAACGGGCCAAAAUCUACGGGAGGCAGGAGUGGUGAAUAUUGCACAAUGGAGGGAACUAAGAUGCAGCGACGCCGGGUGAACGAAGAAGGCUUUCGAGACGUAAAGUUCUUUUAUAUGAGAAGCGGGACCAAAAGAAAAAGCCCCGGCUAACUACGUGCCAGCAGCCGCGGUAAUAC
rnacentral:rRNA from 1 species